UACGUAGGGACCAAGCGUUGUUCGGAUUUACUGGCGUAAAGGGCGCGUAGGCGGCAAUUCAAGUCAGCUGUGAAAUCUCCGAGCUUAACUCGGAACGGUCAGCUGAUACUGUUUUUGCUAGAGUACUGCAGGGGAGACUGGAAUUCCUGGUGUAGCGGUGGAAUGCGCAGAUAUCAGGAGGAACACCGGUGGCGAAGGCGGCGCUCUGGGCCGGUACUGACGCUGAGGAGCGAAAGCGUGGGAGCAAACAGG
rnacentral:rRNA from 1 species